GUUACUAAGCUGACAGCUUCUCUGCCCGCGGCUCGGCAAAGGCCCCCUAAAACCCACAGAACAAACACACAGUUCUUCCAUAGUUGCUCUCUGCUAAACCUCUGGCCGUUGCUUCAAACCCUAAAAAUGGAGGAAGAAGAAAAAGCUGGGCCUCCCAAUAAGGAUUUGUAUGCUCUGCUCCACAUUUCACCCGAAGCCUCCGACGAAGAAAUCCGAAAAGCUUACCGCCAAUGGGCUCAAGUCUAUCACCCUGAUAAAUAUCAAUCUCCUCAUAUGAAAGAUAUUGCUACAGAGAACUUUCAGCGAAUCUGCGAAGCAUACGAAAUCUUAACCGAUGAGAACAAAAGACAGAUAUAUGACAUCUAUGGCAUGGAAGGAUUGACUUCUGGUCUGGAACUAGGUCCAAAGUUGAAUAAAGCAGAUGAGAUAAAGGAAGAGCUUGAAAGGUUACGGAAAAGGAAGGAACAAGAGAAAAUUUCAGCACAUUUCAGGCCUUCUGGUACCAUACUGGCUAAUAUGUCUUUGCCACAUUUUUGGGAGGGCGAUGGCAUCAUGAGAGGAAUGGCCAUGACAAGUGAAGUUCAGUCUCAAAUUUCAAAAAGUAAUACCGUUGGAGUAGGAGGAAAUUUGGCAGUUACUGGGAAUGUCGGUGGUGGGGCUGCUUCUGCAUUGUUUCGUCAUCAAUUUUCUUCAGUUUCAUCUGUAGAAUUUAUGGCUUCAACUGGUUUAAGAUCACUUAUUGGGAUGCAAGCAUCUCGUCAUCUUACAUUGCACUCAACGGCAACAAUGGGUAUUUCGAUGUCAUUGAAAGAUGGAUCAUUGAACCUGUCCAAUUCUUGGACUCGCCAACUUUCUGAAACAGCGAAUGGAAAUAUACAACUUAUUUUAGGCCCGGAGUCUUCUGUUGCAGUUGGAUGGCAGAAGAAAGAAGAGAAAAGGUCUGUUGCAGGAGAGGUGAAGUUUAGCACAAGUUCUUUUGGGGCAUCUGCUCAUUAUACUCAUCGCUUCUCUUCAAAGUCUCAUGGCCGAAUUGCCGGGAGAGUAGGAAGCACCAUGCUUGAGCUUGAACUUGGUGGUGGGAGGAAAUUAUCGAAAUUCAGCACUGUUCGGAUGUUGUAUUCAAUUGGGAUUCAGGGCAUCUUUUGGAAAUUUGAGUUGCAUCGUGGAGGUCAAAAAUUGAUCAUUCCAAUUCUGAUUUCCAGGCAUUUGAACCCUGUGUUUGCAGCUGGAGCAUUCAUUUUCCCCACUUCGGCAUACUUUUUGCUCAAGAAAUUUUUGGUAAAACCUUAUUACCAGAGAAGGGAAAAACAAAAGGCUUUAGAGAACAUGCAAAAAACUUCUGCUCAGGUACAAGAAGCAAGAGCUGCAGCUGCCAAAGCUCAACAGCUACUGCAAAAUGUAGCCAAUAGGAAAAGAAACAGACAAUCUGAAAUUGGUGGACUUGUUAUUACUAAAGCAAUUUAUGGAAAUCAGAAGGAUUUGAAGAAAAAGGAUGAAUUAAACGAACCAAAUGAUGAGUCGUCUCUAAGCAUUAUAGAUGUCACUUUACCGCUAAACUUUUUGGUUAAUGAUUCUGGGCAGCUAAAGCUCCAUGAAGGAGUAAAGAAGUCCGGUAUCAUGGGCUUUUGCGAUCCAUGCCCUGGAGAACCAAAACAGUUGUAUGUUGAGUAUACCUAUGGUGGGAAGACAUAUGAGGUGGUUGUGGAUGAUUACGAGGAGCUGCUAAUACCAAGGCCAUUGCAGUGAAUCUAAUGCCAACACUAAGAAUUCGCAUCACUGGUUACCUCCAGCAAAUUUUCAUACUUCAUCUGCUUGAGCCUAAUUUUGGAUAAUUGGAGUGAGAAACAUCAACAUCGUCACAAUUGAGGAUUGGGAUAAAGCUUAUGAAUUAUAUGAUGGGCUCUUCAUAUCUUCAUUAUUCACAUUCUGCUGGGCUUUUUAACUGUAUUCUAUAGCCUUGUAAAUUGUAUUUUUGUCUUUUGCUUAGCCUUCUGAAAAGAUAAUGCUUCUUGGUUUCUUCAAGAAUAAUGUUGCAAAUGGUUUAAACA